rnacentral:rRNA from 1 species
UACGGAGGGGGCUAGCGUUGUUCGGAAUUACUGGGCGUAAAGCGCACGUAGGCGGAUUGGAAAAGUUGGGGGUGAAAUCCCAGGGCUCAACCCUGGAACUGCCUUCAAAACUCCCAGUCUGGAGGUCGAGAGAGGUGAGUGGAAUUCCGAGUGUAGAGGUGAAAUUCGAUAGAUAUUCGGAGGAACACCAGUGGCGAAGGCGGCUCACUGGCUCGAUACUGACGCUGAGGUGCGAAAGCGUGGGGAGCAAACAGG